AGAGUUUGAUCCUGGCUCAGGAUGAACGCUGGCGGCGUGCCUAAUACAUGCAAGUCGAGCGAAUGGAUUAAGAGCUUGCUCUUAUGAAGUUAGCGGCGGACGGGUGAGUAACACGUGGGUAACCUGCCCAUAAGACUGGGAUAACUCCGGGAAACCGGGGCUAAUACCGGAUAACAUUUUGAGCCGCAUGGUUCGAAAUUGAAAGGCGGCUUCGGCUGUCACUUAUGGAUGGACCCGCGUCGCAUUAGCUAGUUGGUGAGGUAACGGCUCACCAAGGCAACGAUGCGUAGCCGACCUGAGAGGGUGAUCGGCCACACUGGGACUGAGACACGGCCCAGACUCCUACGGGAGGCAGCAGUAGGGAAUCUUCCGCAAUGGACGAAAGUCUGACGGAGCAACGCCGCGUGAGUGAUGAAGGCUUUCGGGUCGUAAAACUCUGUUGUUAGGGAAGAACAAGUGCUAGUUGAAUAAGCUGGCACCUUGACGGUACCUAACCAGAAAGCCACGGCUAACUACGUGCCAGCAGCCGCGGUAAUACGUAGGUGGCAAGCGUUAUCCGGAAUUAUUGGGCGUAAAGCGCGCGCAGGUGGUUUCUUAAGUCUGAUGUGAAAGCCCACGGCUCAACCGUGGAGGGUCAUUGGAAACUGGGAGACUUGAGUGCAGAAGAGGAAAGUGGAAUUCCAUGUGUAGCGGUGAAAUGCGUAGAGAUAUGGAGGAACACCAGUGGCGAAGGCGACUUUCUGGUCUGUAACUGACACUGAGGCGCGAAAGCGUGGGGAGCAAACAGGAUUAGAUACCCUGGUAGUCCACGCCGUAAACGAUGAGUGCUAAGUGUUAGAGGGUUUCCGCCCUUUAGUGCUGAAGUUAACGCAUUAAGCACUCCGCCUGGGGAGUACGGCCGCAAGGCUGAAACUCAAAGGAAUUGACGGGGGCCCGCACAAGCAGUGGAGUAUGUGGUUUAAUUCGAAGCAACGCGAAGAACCUUACCAGGUCUUGACAUCCAACUAACGAAGCAGAGAUGCAUUAGGUGCCCUUCGGGGAAAGUUGAGACAGGUGGUGCAUGGUUGUCGUCAGCUCGUGUCGUGAGAUGUUGGGUUAAGUCCCGCAACGAGCGCAACCCUUGUGAUUAGUUGCUACGCAAGAGCACUCUAAUCAGACUGCCGUUGACAAAACGGAGGAAGGUGGGGACGACGUCAAAUCAUCAUGCCCCUUAUGACCUGGGCUACACACGUACCACAAUGGCCGUCAACAGAGGGAAGCAAAACCGCGAGGCGGAGCAAACCCCCAAAAACGGUCUCAGUUCGGAUCGCAGGCUGCAACCCGCCUGCGUGAAGCUGGAAUUGCUAGUAAUCGCGGAUCAUCAUGCCGCGGUGAAUACGUUCCCGGGCCUUGUACACACCGCCCGUCACACCAUGGGAGCCGGUAAUACCCGAAGUCGGUAGCCUAACCGCAAGGAAGGCGCCGCCGAAGGUAGGAUUGGCGACUGGGGUGAAGUCGUAACAAGGUAACC
rnacentral:rRNA from 1 species